CCCUUAGAUGUUCUGGGCCGCACACGCGCUACGCUGAAGGAGGCAGCGUGUACUCCUGGAUCGAAAGAUUUGGGUAACCCGCGAAUCUCCUUCGUGCUAGGGAUUGAGGUUUGCAAUUAUCCUUCAUGAACGAGGAAUUCCCAGUAAGUGCAAGUCAUAAGCUUGCGCUGACUACGUCCCUGCCCUUUGUACACACCGCCCGUCGCUACUACCGAUUGAAUGAUUUAGUGAGGACUUCGGACUGGGACCGAUGCGGCUUUCGGGCUGCGUCGGUAUUCUGGAAAGAUGUCCAAACUGUAUCAUUUAGAGGAAGUAAAANUCGUAACA
rnacentral:rRNA from 1 species